AAAGCCCCGACGGGAGGGGAUGGCUCCGCGGCCCAUCAGGUAGACGGCGGGGUGACGGCCCACCGUGCCGACAACGGGUAGCCGGGUUGAGAGACCGACCGGCCAGAUUGGGACUGAGACACGGCCCAGACUCCUACGGGAGGCAGCAGUGGGGAAUCUUGCGCAAUGGGGGGAACCCUGACGCAGCGACGCCGCGUGCGGGACGGAGGCCUUCGGGUCGUAAACCGCUUUCAGCAGGGAAGAGUCAAGACUGUACCUGCAGAAGAAGCCCCGGCUAACUACGUGCCAGCAGCCGCGGUAAUACGUAGGGGGCGAGCGUUAUCCGGAUUCAUUGGGCGUAAAGCGCGCGUAGGCGGCCCGGCAGGCCGGGGGUCGAAGCGGGGGGCUCAACCCCCCGAAGCCCCCGGAACCUCCGCGGCUUGGGUCCGGUAGGGGAGGGUGGAACACCCGGUGUAGCGGUGGAAUGCGCAGAUAUCGGGUGGAACACCGGUGGCGAAGGCGGCCCUCUGGGCCGAGACCGACGCUGAGGCGCGAAAGCUGGGGGAGCGAACAGGAUUAGAUACCCUGGUAGUCCCAGCCGUAAACGAUGGACGGCUAGGGUGGGGGGGGGAGGAUCCCCCCCCGUGCCGGCAGCCAACGCAUUAAGCGUCCCGCCUGGGGAGUACGGCCGCAAGGCUAAAACUCAAAGGAAUUGACGGGGACCCGCACAAGCGGGGGAGCAUGUGGUUUAAUUCGAAGCAACGCGAAGAACCUUACCAAAGUCUUGACAUCCUUCUGACCGGAACUUAACCGUUCCUUCCCUUCGGGGCAGAAGUGACAGGUGGUGCAUGGUUGUCGUCAGCUCGUGUCGUGAGAUGUUGGGUUAAGUCCCGCAACGAGCGCAACCCCUAUCCCCAGUAGCCAGCGGUUCGGCCGGGCACUCUGGGGAGACUGCCAGGGAUAACCUGGAGGAAGGCGGGGAUGACGUCAAAUCAUCAUGCCCCUUAUGAUUUGGGCUACACACGUGCUACAAUGGCGUAAACAAAGGGAAGCGAACCUGCGAGGGUGGGCAAAUCCCAAAAAUAACGUCCCAGUUCGGACUGUAGUCUGCAACCCGACUACACGAAGCUGGAAUCGCUAGUAAUCGCGGAUCAGAAUGCCGCGGUGAAUACGUUCCCGGGUCUUGCACACACCGCCCGUCA
rnacentral:rRNA from 1 species